ACCAGUGUCUGUGAGGUGUGGGCCCGGCCCCAGGAGCGGGGCCUGGGCAGCCCCGUGUGUUGAGGAAGGAAGGCAGGGCCCCCGCUCCCCGGGCCUGACCCCACUGCUUC
rnacentral:pre_miRNA from 2 species